rnacentral:rRNA from 1 species
UACAGAGGUCUCAAGCGUUGUUCGGAUUCAUUGGGCGUAAAGCGCGCGCAGGCGGUCCUUUAAGUCUGAUGUGAAAGCCCACGGCUCAACCGUGGAGGGUCAUUGGAAACUGGGGGACUUGAGUGCAGAAGAGGAAAGCGGAAUUCCACGUGUAGCGGUGAAAUGCGUAGAGAUGUGGAGGAACACCAGUGGCGAAGGCGGCUUUCUGGUCUGUAACUGACGCUGGGGGCGCGAAAGCGUGGGGAGCAAACAGG